rnacentral:rRNA from 1 species
UCGAGCGCGAAUGGAGCAAUCCUAGUAGAGCGGCGCACGGGUGCGUAACACGUGGGUAAUCUGCCCUGGUGACUGGGAUAACCUGCCGAAAGGCUGGCUAAUACCAGAUAAGCUCACGGGUCCUUCGGGAUCUGAGAGAAAAGGUGGCCUCUGUAUACAAGCUAUCACACCAGGAUGAGCCCGCGGCCCAUCAGCUAGUUGGCGGGGUAAUGGCCCACCAAGGCAACGACGGGUAGCUGGUCUGAGAGGACGAUCAGCCACACUGGAACUGAGACACGGUCCAGACUCCUACGGGAGGCAGCAGUGGGGAAUUUUGCGCAAUGGGCGAAAGCCUGACGCAGCAACGCCGCGUGUGUGAUGAAGGUCUUCGGAUUGUAAAGCACUUUCGACCGGGACGAACACCCCUGAGCUAACAUCUCAGGGCCUGACGGUACCGGGAGAAGAAGCACCGGCUAACUCUGUGCCAGCAGCCGCGGUAAUACAGAGGGUGCAAGCGUUG